UUUUCUUGGUCUUGUUGACAACCCUGCUGGAAAAAGAACACUAUAUCUUAACCAAGUUAAACUAUGCUGUACAAUAGGUCUUUCCUUAACAUAGACUUUGUAUAGUGUAGCAUUAAGUGAAAAUCAUGCCCAUGUGUAUGAGUACUUGCCAUAAGUAAUUGUGUGGGGAAUGUCAAACUAAAGUCUUGCCCUUCUUAGUUUCAAUAGCGGCUUGAUACUGAUC